GGCCAGGCGCCUCGGCCCGGGGACGCACCGCGCGCGUCUCUAGGAGCGGGCGCCGGCGCGGGGCACGGAGCGCGGCGCGCCCUGCGCGCUUUGGGCCCUUGGAACCUUCGGGAAGAGCGGCUCCGGCCGCCGACGCAGCCGUACCCGGGUGCGGCGAGGUCACGGCGACUGUCCGGCAGCCCCGGAGCGCUCUGCCCGCGUCCCUCUUCCCUGUCUCACGCGACCGACCGUGAUGACUUCUGCCUCCUGACGCCUUCGUGCACUUACUUUGAGGGCGACCCUGCGACCUUCGCAUAACCAGGGAAGGCUCCCCGCAUGGUGACCCCAGCCUCGCCUGCAGACUCUGCCAUAAGGCGACACAGCCCCAGCCUCUGGGAAGACACCGACGUCUUCCAGGGCCCCCUGUGCCCACCACGAUGGCAGACACGUCUGGGAGUACCGCAGACAAUUCUGAAGAUGUCCAGCCCGGCUCCUCAGUGUACUUCUACAGCCACAGUGAUUGGCUUCAAUUAACAGCAGCUGAAGUGUUUGCUGAAUUGAUUCAGAACCUUUCUUGCUUAAAAUGGAAGUUCUCUUCUGUAUACUGAGACCUGUUGUAGCAGCAGACGACCAUGGGGUUGGCUAUUCUCCAGACCUGUUAUUCUCCUCUUCAUGCCCAGUGCUGACAAGAAGCUAACCUUGCUAUGGCCCUGCACCUGAGCCCAUGGGCCCAGAACUCAGGCUCCACACAGCCAGACUCUGGUGCCGCAGCGCCGCCAGGCACACGUGAAGUAGGGUAGAAGGAUUGCCCUGGACUGUGUUCUCUGUGCUCGGGCCGCAUCCACAGAUCUCUGCUUUCGGAAUGACAAUCUGAACGUGAGUAUCCCCCACGAGUGUCUCCAACUCCCACAUUCUGCUUCUACCCACAGGGAAAAACAAACCUUCAAAAAAUGCAUAACGCUGUUAUGAAGUUACCACCGCUUCGUUUUCUGAAUCUGAGUCUCCACACAACAGAAAAGGCUUAGAAUUCCCACAGCCCUGAGAAGGGCGAUUUCUCUGGCCAGUGAAGGCAUCUGCCAAGCACAAAUUCUCCAUCUGUAAAAUGGAAACUCACAAAACUGCAUGGGUUCCCUAGCAGCGCCAUGAAAACUCUCGUUUCCAACCGGCACUGCAGCCCCGCGGCUCGCCUCUGUCCUCCGUGUGGACGUCAGGUGGCCUAGCCGUGUCACAGACUCGCUGGCCGGUGCUCGAAUUCGUAGACACACGGAGUCCUGAGAGAGACACGCAUGGUUGCUCGGGCACUGAACAGACUAAAACAUCGCAAACCCUCACCAGCGAGGGAACCAGCUGGGUUCCAAAUUCUAGCAGUUCCUACGUUUUUGUGCCGAAAAUAAAAUUCCCUACUCGUAAAAUUCCGGGGAAUGU
rnacentral:lncRNA from 1 species